rnacentral:sRNA from 1 species
AAAGGAAACACAAGUCACUUUUGAUAACACAUGAUGCAAAGAAAGAAUUAGAAAGAAUGAACAAUGAAGCAGGUAUAAAUGACAAACAAGUGUCCAAAGGCCCAAGAAGUUACUACUAAAAGCUUUCAAACAAUAUUGGUUUGUGUUUAAAGACACAUCCAUAGCCUACUUUAAAAAUAAGGAACUUGAACAAGGAGAACCACUAGAAAAACUAAAUCUUAGAGGCUGCGAAGUUGUGCCCAAUGUAAAUGUAGCAGAGAGAAAAUUUGGAAUCAAGUUACUAAUCCCUGUUGCCGAUGGUAUGAAUGAAAUGUAUUUGAGAUGUGACCAUGAGAAUCAAUACGCCCAAUGGAUGGCUGCCUGCAUGUUGGCAUCGAAGGGCAAAACCAUGGCAGACAGCUCCUACCAGCCAGAGGUCCUCAACAUCCUUUCAUUUCUGAGGAUGAAAAACAGGAACUCUGCAUCUCAGGUGGCUUCCAGUCCCGAAAACAUGGAUAUGAACCCAGAAUGUUUUGUGUCACCACGGUGUGCAAAAAAACACAAAUCCAAACAGCUGGCCGCCCGGAUCCUGGAGGCGCACCAGAACGUGGCCCAGAUGCCCCUGGUCGAAGCCAAGCUGCGGUUCAUCCAGGCAUGGCAGUCACUGCCUGAGUUCGGCCUCACCUACUACCUUGUCAGAUUUAAAGGAAGCAAGAAAGAUGACAUUCUGGGAGUUUCAUAUAACAGGUUGAUUAAAAUUGAUGCAGCCACUGGGAUUCCAGUGACAACAUGGAGAUUCACAAAUAUCAAACAGUGGAAUGUAAACUGGGAAACCCGGCAGGUGGUCAUCGAGUUUGACCAAAACGUCUUUACUGCUUUCACCUGCCUGAGUGCAGAUUGCAAGAUUGUGCACGAGUACAUUGGCGGCUACAUUUUCUUGUCCACCCGUUCCAAGGACCAGAAUGAAACACUCGACGAGGACUUGUUCCACAAAUUGACCGGCGGUCAGGAUUGAAACAAGCACAUGUGCUCAGCUCACACCAACAGGGCAAGCCAAAGGCGCCCCUCCCCAGAGGGAUCCAUAACUUGCCCAGCAUGUAGAUUCUGGACUAACAGACAACAUACAUUCACCGUUGGUCACCCAGACCCUCACUUCAUUCAAACCCACUGCUGGCAUAUCCCUUUCCUUACUUUGCCCUGUGCUACCAGCCAUGGAAGGAGCCUCUCGUUUUUUCUAUAAAAUGGGUGAGCAGGAGAAAAGGAGGUACCCUAACAUUGCUCUAAGGCCCAACAUGUGGUUACAGUUCUGUGACUUGCAGAACCUGCCAGGUGUAUGGCUGCAAGUUAUCCUUGUGCUGAUCUCUCAUUACUAAGUCAAUGGAGAAGACAGAAAGGUAAAAAUCACAUGUAGCAAGAACAACUCUUAUUUCACAAACUCAGGUAUGAAACGAAACGCCUAUCCUUCAUGGAACUGCUUUUAGCUCCUGUCUUUUCAAAAUGACAGAGGGAGUUCCUACACACACUUUUUCCCUGGAGGCCAAGGUCUAGGGGUAGAAAGGGGAGGGGUGGGGCUACCAGGUAGCAGUUGAUGACCCAAGGUCAGAGGAGUGGCCCUCAGUGUCAUCUGUCCACAGUGAUACCUGCCAAGAUGACCACUGACCCACAUCUGGUCUUAGUCAUUGGUCUCCUCAGAUUUCUGGGGCCACCUGCAAGCCCCAUUCCAUUCCUACAGAUCUCUCAGCCACCUGUAAGUCCUUUGUGAAGACGUGGGUGACACAGGGGGACAGGAAAACCCAUUUCUCAACCCAGAUCCAUGUCUCCACUGCUUCUACUCUGGGUUGGGAUUCCGGAAGACAGGCACAGUCCUCUCUGUCCGUAGAAACACCUGCCGGCAUCAAGGAUUCCAGUCAGGUCUCUAUCCCAACUGGUCAGGGAGAGAAGGGCAGACCUUUUCUCAAAGACCACCAUGUCCAAGGUCUGACGGCUCCCCACUGGCUGCCCCCACAGGGGCUUUAGGCUGGUCUGGGUCGUGGGGAAGCGUCCCUCUUACUGCUGGUCUAUGUUCUCCUGGAUUUGGUAUCUAUGUUGGUAUGACUCCUGGCCUUUUCUCUAAAGGCCUUUGGCUUUUGUAAAUCACAAGCCAAUAAUAGACUUUUUUCUCCCCUUCUGUUUUUUGCUGUGUCAUCUCUGCCUUAAGACUGCCUUGAGACAGUGCUCGCCUUGAGAGAGUGAGCCAAUUAACAGCUGCCUGAAUUGUCAUUUUCCAUUUUGGUUUGUUAGAGGUGGGAGGGGUGGGUUUUGAGAAGGUCAAAAGCAAUACCAGAAAUAAAAGGAAAUAUCAGACAAUAUUUUAUUAUUUUUUCAUAGAUGUUCUGCCACACAAAGAACUUGGGCUGCAAGCAUAAGCAAAAGCUCCAAUCCCAUUUUUCAGUUCUCCUAGGAUGCACCCCUCAGGGAGCCUGGCCAGAGUUCCAAGGCCCGUGAGCAUCAGCUGUUGCUUUAUUUUCCAUCAAAGCCCUCUGAGAAGUGAGACCUCAGCAAUUCCGGGAGCCACAUGGAGACAGACUUGGCAAGGGACCCCCCUGGUUCUGAGCCAGUAGCUGCCAUCUGGAAAUUCCUCUUUUAGCCUCUCCUUAGAGGUGAAUGUGAAUGAAGCCUCCCAGGCACCCGCUGAAUUUCUGAGGCCUUGCUUAAAGCUCGGAAGUGGUUUAGGCAUUUGGAAAAUCUGGUUCACAUCAUAAAGAACUUGAUUUGAAAUGUUUUCUAUAGAAACAAGUGCUAAGUGUACUGUAUUACACUUGAUGUUGGUCAUUUCUCAGUCCUAUUUCUCAAUUCUAUUAUUUUAGAACCUAGUCAGUUCUUUAAGAUUAUAACUGGUCCUACAUUAAAAUAAUGCUUCUUGAUGUCAUAUUUUACCUGUUUGCUGCUGAGAACAUCUCUGCCUAAUUUACCAAAGCCAGACCUUCAGUUCAACAUGCUUCCUUAGCUUUUCAUAGUUGUCUGACAUUUCCAUGAAAACAAAGGAACUAACUGGUUUUAACCAAACUUUGUUUGGUCACAGUUUUCAGGGGAGCAUUUCUUCCGUGACACACAGCAACAUCCCAAAGAAAUAAACAAGUGUGACCAAAAAAAAAAAAAAACCCUAAAUGCUACUGUUCCAAAGAGCAACUUGAUGUUUUUUUUUUAAUAUUGAGUGCAAAAGGUCACCCAACUUCCUAUGAUGAAAUUUUAAAUUAAUGGGCAUCUUUCAACAUCAUUUGCUUCCUUAUCUACAGUUGAUUCAGAAAUCUGCAUUUUUUAUUCUUUUAUAUGGCUUUUAAGUAAAAGAUUUAUAUGAAUUUGA